rnacentral:rRNA from 1 species
CCUACGGGUGGCAGCAGUGAGGGAUAUUGGUCAAUGGGGGAAACCCUGAACCAGCAACGCCGCGUGAGGGAAGACGGUUUUCGGAUUGUAAACCUCUGUCCUCUGUGAAGAUAAUGACGGUAGCAGAGGAGGAAGCUCCGGCUAACUACGUGCCAGCAGCCGCGGUAAUACGUAGGGAGCAAGCGUUAUCCGGAUUUAUUGGGUUUAAAGGGUGCGUAGGCGGAAUAUCAAGUCAGCGGUAAAAAUUCGGGGCUCAACCCCGUCGUGCCGUUGAAACUGAUGUUCUUGAGUGGGCGAGAAGUAUGCGGAAUGCGUGGUGUAGCGGUGAAAUGCAUAGAUAUCACGCAGAACUCCGAUUGCGAAGGCAGCAUACCGGCGCCCAACUGACGCUGAAGCACGAAAGCGUGGGUAUCGAACAGGAUUAGAUACCCUGUAGUC